UACGAAGGGGGGCUAGCGUUGUUCGGAAUUACUGGGCGUAAAGCGCGCGCAGGCGGUUUUUCAAGUCAGUGGUGAAAGCCCGGAGCUCAACUCCGGAAAUGCCAUUGAAACUGCAAAACUUGAGGACGAGAGAGGUGAGUGGAAUUCCCAGUGUAGAGGUGAAAUUCGUAGAUAUUGGGAAGAACACCGGUGGCGAAGGCGGCUCACUGGCUCGGUUUCUGACGCUCAGGCGCGAUAGCGUGGGGGAUCAAACAGG
rnacentral:rRNA from 1 species